GGCGAGGUGGCCGAAUGGUUAAGGCGAUGGACUACUGAUCCUUUGGGCUGUUCCCACGUGGUAUCGAGUCCCACCCUCGUCG